ensembl:lncRNA
UCAUUAAUAAAGUAGAUUCGGGACUAGAAAGGACAUACAUUAACUUUGGAAAUUGAGGUGACAACAAAUAUUUUUAAAGAAAGAGUUAAAACUCAAAAUGACCUUAAAGACUGGUCUGAAGGGAGAAAUCCAAAUGGCAUUCAACAGUUACAGAAGGUACUGCAUUCAGGCUAGAAUAAUCAAGUAUACGACUAUAUGGCUAUAUAUUUCCCUUGGCUAUACAGUGGAAAUCUGAUCAGUAGCAGUUCUGGAGAGGAAGAUAUGAGGGUAAUGGUGGAUCACAAGCUGACACUCAGUCAAGAAGGUUAUGUUGCUGCAAAAAAGGUUGGCAUCAUACUGACAGGAAAGUAGCUUGCAAGGUAUAUUAAAUAAUCCUUUUGAAGCUCAUUGGUAAAAUCUCAGCUGGAAUACUUGGACAUUAUAGACUAAGUAGUCUUCAAACACUUCUGAGAAGAAGAUAUAAUCAAUAUGUUCUUCUAAUGCACUUGAGAAAGAAAUGGGAUGUUCAGCCUAGCUCUGAGAAAAGCAUGGCAAACCACUGAGUGGGCGGUCUAUGAAGGUCCAGGAGCAUCAGCUGCUGGAAAUCUUUAAGAACAGGUCAGACAUAUAUCUGUGAGAUAUGACCCUGACAGGGAAGGUCCUGCUGCGGGGUGAAGAGUAAGCUUCUUCUUUUCUUGAGGCCCCUUUCAGCUCUAAAGUCUGCUUCCUGCCCAGACAUGAACCUGCAUCCUCUGCUAUUACCCCUAUCCUGCUUGCCCGCCACUGCCUGACCUCACCCAUCCGUUCGCAGGAACACGUUUGCUAGCUUCCAGCAGGUCACUUACAUCCAGUUUCACUUUUCUGCAUGUUCUUUUUCUCAUUCCUCAUUUUUCCCCUUUCCCUGAUGCCUUUUCCCCUUGCUUUCCCUCAACACUUUGCUUCGUCUCACUCACAGAGAUCCUCUGCCCUGUCCCAGCACCUGACUCCUUGACCUUCUCUGCAGACAGAUGGAACAGGAGAUGGUGAAGGUCACUUUUCAUCGUAUUGCUCGUGCCAAGGAAAUGGAUGAGAAAUCUCCACUCCCAGGUCUCUUUGUUAUUGCUCCAGAGUGUCUGCAGACUUGGAUCCAUACAAGUCCUGUGGUACUCCUGCGAUAUGGUUGUCUGAGUCAGCUACCACCAACCUGCCAGUACCUCGUGUUUCCCACUGGCAAAGCUAAGGGUGAGGACCCCAUCAAAGACAAGCCCUGGCCCAUCUCACCUUCCCCAAAUUACUGGUCACACAUGGCAGAAGAGAGCUGACUGGAGAAGGGGAAACUUGGCACUGGGACACGGGCUGCUGCUUUCUGGGCUUGGUGCCAUGAGAGCUGAUGGGGAGCACUGGGCAGGCACUGAGGGUGAAGGUGGCCUUUGGUGUGGUUAGACUGGGGACAGAAAACAGUGGUGCUGCCCUAACACAGCUCUCAAAUAUUUUCAUGCAUACAAAAUCAGAGUUAUUUCUCUGCUCUGAACAGCUUUGCACUCUCCAUGUUAGUUUUCUUGUGUACCUUUGCAAAGCAGUGAACUCGUGCUUACGACAACAUCUGUAACCUUGAGCACUGGCACACUGAUUUUUCUCUUCUCUGUUUCAGUCUUGCCAUUCUCCUUCACAGAAACCCCAAGGCUGUUUGAAACAAAAAAUGUAACUGUCUGUAAAAUGCAGUAUGUGAAGGCAGUGCAAGGGCAACAGGAUUUGCUUGUAAAUAAAAUCCCAACCCAAAAAUUCA